GAAGGGUGCAAAAUAUCUUCCACAUUGACUAAUUGACCAUCUCCUCCUACAUCAAGAAACUUGGGUCAAGUCUCUUCACUUCAAGCUUACCAUAGGAGGACCUGGUUGUGAAUCCGUUGAUAACUUCAAAGCUAUCCUAAAACAAGAAGGAAUUUACCAUCUUUCAUCAAGAGACCACUUUUUAGAGGUUAUGUUAGGAUAUUGUGCUGUUGAAAGCUAAAGUUGCGGAACUUCUUUUGUCAAAUGUUAUGGUCAACCUUGCAAAGAGGAAGAAUUUGUACAUUGAUCUUUGCAAGCUGAUCUCAAAGGGGACAAAGUCCUACUAAAGGAGGGACAGAAGGGGAGGAGGUCGAGCAGGGGAAACAAUAGCAGGGAGCAGGACAACAAAGACAAACUGUGGUUUGGAGGUUUCAAUUUGUAAUUCAUCUUGAUUUAAUGCUAAUUUUAAAGUUGGCAGUUGUUAUUUUCCUGCUCAUAUUCUUUGCCUCAGUCAUCUGUCUGUUAGUUAUAUUUAUAUUUCUAUUUCUCCUUUAAUUAUUAUUAUUAUUAUUAUUAUUAUUAUUAUUAUUAUUAUUAUUAUUAUCUCAUCAGGCAUAUAAAGUUAAUGAUUACUGAUUAGGGCAAAUUUUUAAAUCCAUUGAAUUGGGAUUAGAGCUGGUAAUUAAAUAUCUGUUAAAAUCAAUUAAAAUUUUCUAAGCUUUUCAGUGAUGAUUGGGCUGAUGAGGUUAUUACUGAAUCAGAAUCUCCAGUACAAGGUAUUCGUUUUAAUGUUUUUUUUGGUAUUGUUAUAAAGAGAAAUAUUUACAUUUGCUUAUUCCAAACAUUAUUCCACUGUGUAGAUUCAUGUUAGCAUUAUUAGAUGUUUCCACUGUGUAGAUUUAAGUUUGGAUAUAUGUGAGAAUUUUAUAGUUUUAGAUUGAUAUAUAUGUUAUUCAAAGUUUAUACGGACAUUGAAGUAAUAUUUAAAGUUUUAAGGAUAUGAACUUUUUAUAAAUUUUUGGGUUAACUGUGAGAAAUAGCUAUAUACUUUCACUUGACCUUCCUGUAUACUUUGGUGAUGCUGGUAGUCGAUAGGUGAACCCCACGCAAUUUCUAUCACAACAGCAACAAAAAAUCAAAAACACAUUUGUAAGAAAUAGCAAUAUACUUUCAUUGAUUUUUUUUCAUUUUUAGGUUCUUCAUAAAAUUGGGGCAGAAAGGGCUUGUGUUGCUGCAUUUAUGUCUUUUCCACAGCAUGCCAACUAAUAUUGUUGAUGUUUUUCUCAGAUUCCAAAAGGGAGGGAAGUGGAUGACAAUGAUUCCUUCAUGUUUAAUGAUGUAUUUACUGCUCCUCUUUAUCGUAUAAAGGUGAAUGUUAUCCAAUUGAUGGAAAUUGUGGAAGAAAACGCAAGCAGAUCCCUUAAUAGCAAUGUAGUAUUAGGUUAUAUAGUUAUGGAAAACCUCUUAAUAACAAUGUACAACCAAAUCCCCUUAAUACCAAUAUAUUAG